CAAGGAAAGAAAGCAAAUUCAGAUUCUGCAGCGUUGGAGGAUUUGGUCACAUGUAUUUUAAAGAGCCCAUCAUCCCCGCACUCCAGGGACGUGCCCUUGGCCCUGCUGCUGUUCCUUCACAGUCUCUGUCUCCGCCAGCCACCAGCUCCUUGCUUAUCUCAGAUGCCUGCCUGGUACACCCGAACUCUCCUUAACCUCUCCAGCUCAGCACCCGAGUCCUGUUUUCUGUCACCAGAGGGACUCGACAGGUACCCGGAGGAAAAGCCCACCGCAGGAGGCCCAGAAGGUUGGCUGGAGAGAGAGGAAGGGGAGCCGAACAGCCAUGUUCAAGGGGGAAAAGGAGGAAGAAAGGGCUCCCGCAAACUGCUCUGCUCCUCUGCCACGGAAGCCCCCGAUAUGUCACCGAGCACGGCGUACUGGACGGCCUGUCACGCAGGUGCUGAUACUCGGCUAAAAUAACUCAUUGGGAGCUGUCACGGGUGUUUACAUAGGCCCCCAUCUUUUCUUCAUGGAAGGAAAUUUUUUUACUGGAAUUCAUCUUCUUUUGAUCUCACAUUCAAAGCAAC
rnacentral:lncRNA from 1 species